ACCCGUCGCGCGUACCCACUCUUGGGCCCCGCCCGCCGAUCUCUUCCCCAUCAAUUACGCACGCUUACUUAUUUGAAUUAUCAGGGCCUCUUGUUUCCAAUCUAUUUUAUGCCUGACGAUCUCAUCACCGUUAAUUACGCGCACAGCCAUAUCUGGAUUGACAGGUGAUUUUGUUUCCAUUCUAUUUUGCUCCUUCCCUACAGCCUGAAAGCACCACCAUCCCUGGUCCUGCAUCCUCAACUCGCCGUGCCCCCCGCAGAGUCCACCAAGGCAGCACGGUGAACCCCGACCAGCUGCCAAACGAGCUUCGGCAUCCGUGUUGCCUCGACACCAGCAGCUCACCUCGGCGGCGGCGUACCAAAUGCUCCGCUUCUCUCCGGAUCGAGUUGGCCGUGCGCUGUGCUGACCGUGAUGGUGAGGACAGCGACGGCGCCAUCGCCAAUUAGCCAGCAACGCUGCUAGGUGCCAAGGGAUCGACAUGACAAGCUACAUGCAAGGUGUUCGAGGAAAUGCCCAUCAUCAAUCAACCAUCAAAUUUGUAAUGCUCCUGGUCUGAACAGGGCAACCAUGACCCCAAGCUGUUCAAGAGCUCCAGCCACGGGGAGCCCUACAAGUUGUGAGUUAAUUAGCUAAUUGAUGAAUUAACAAGCAUGUUAUGGUUGCCAAUGGAGUUCACGGUCUGUCUGUCGCUCCUUCUGUUCCACUCAGAUUUAUUAGAGAGCACCACUGAGGUGCUUGAGAACAAAAAAAAAAAAUAGAACACUUUGGGGGCAAGAUUUUGGCAUUUUAUUCUGUCAGCAGCUAGAACAAGACCGGCGGCAAAAUGCAAGAUGGAAGAAUCAGGAGAUGAUGUCCUGAAGAGACAUGAUGCUCCAAUGGAGCUGAUCUCCAUGCUUGCUGAUAGCAAAGGAGUUGCGCAAGCAUAGUGUACUAUGGGGGCUAAAUUUCAGUGGUAUGUAAUUUAUAAAAUGAGCCUCUCUUUAACUUGAAGUAUUAUUGAUGUAAAAUAUAUUAAUGUAUCUUAGUGUCAUAAUUUUUUUCCCCAAUUU